GACGAACGCUGGCGGCGCGCCUAACACAUGCAAGUCGAACGAGCGAGCGAGAGCUUGCUUUCUCAAGCGAGUGGCGAACGGGUGAGUAACGCGUGAGGAACCUGCCUCAAAGAGGGGGACAACAGUUGGAAACGACUGCUAAUACCGCAUAAGCCCACGACCCGGCAUCGGGUAGAGGGAAAAGGAGCAAUCCGCUUUGAGAUGGCCUCGCGUCCGAUUAGCUAGUUGGUGAGGUAACGGCCCACCAAGGCGACGAUCGGUAGCCGGACUGAGAGGUUGAACGACAGAGUAGCACGUGGAACCGGCCAAGGACACAGAGGGAGGAGAGGGGGUGGGAAGUGGGCACGGUGGGGGAAGCCGGGCGGAGCGGAGGUAGCGUGUAGGAAGGAGGUGUGCGGAGUGAGAACGCGCUUGGAAAAGGAAAAAAAGGAGAGAAUAAAAAAAGGAGGUGACGGCCAACGACGCCAGAGAGGCGGUGAUAAUAGUGCGGAACAUAACUCGUCUGAUC
rnacentral:rRNA from 1 species